UAGGAGGCAAUCCCGGCUUUUUUAGCCCCUUGCCGACCCUCCCAGCGCCGUCCAGCCGCAGCUUCGGAGGCAAACCCAAGUUUUUCUCCUUCAGAUGGACGACGUAGCCUGCCUGUCCAGCGGCCUCACUCACCUCUCUAAACAGCCCGCUGCCCUAGGUCCCCAGGAGAGCCUCCCGUUCCUCAGUCUUAUCUGUGUCUUGGUACUACUUUCACAGGGCACAGGCAACAGUCCUGGCUUCUGCCGCAUUCAAGCGCCACCACUUUCCGGGAAGUGGCAGAGCAGGUGGCCCUAUGCGUGCGGGAAGCUAUGUUCUACCUAACCUGUUCCACAGUGGCUCUUCGGUGUAGGGGGAGUCGGAAGGAGCGGCAGAAGGGGGCCUGGCAGCUUCCAUUCACUCAUUCCACAAAACGGUAUUGAGCAUGUACUCUGCCAGGCUUUGGGUUAGAAGCAGGGGUCACAGGUUGCUGAUAUUCUUCAUCAUCAUCAUGACCAUCAUCACGGGAUGCUGCUGUCAGAUGAACCCGAGCCAGAGUGGACCUCAAUGGGAUGGGGCCCCAAUUUCCAUUUAAGAGGAGGCUUUGGGCCAGUUGAGCCAGUCGUUUGGGAAAAGCAACUAAGGAUUUGUCUGGACCUGGGCUUGGCCUUUUGGACAAGUGCUUGUGGCAUCAGGGAAGGUGGGGCUGCCCACCAGUCUUUUCACCAUUUGGCACCAUGCCUCACUAUUCAUCUGUUCAUUCCACAAAUGGUUAAUGAGCUCCUACCGCGCAGGACGCCACUGGGCUGAGGCUCUAUCAGCCAGAGCUGUAAAGGAUCUUCGCUGGCCAGUAGCCGCCUGAAGCAUGAUAUGUGCACGCAGGAAACAUGAAGUGUUUUCAACAUUAGUGAAACAGACAAUGAGUUCAGAGAAAGGGUGGUUAAGUAAGGUAGACAAGGGUGAGGAGCAGAAGAACUCCAUCUUCCCCACUGAGCUCUCAGUGCUGGCCCAGAGUGAGUUUGCAAAGAACCUCCUGGAAUGAGUAAACGAAUGGAAACAAACUAUUCAUAAUCCUGCCCUUCAGAGCUUUCUGACCUGCUCAUCUGGGCCUCUGGGCUUGGACUGAACAGCAAGCCUGAUCUGGGGGCACUGCAGUGAGGAAAGAAAGACCGCAUGAGGUGCAUUUCACUCACAGCCUUUGCACUGAAAUCUUUGAGUAAAUUCCUCCUCACAACUGGUAUUG